rnacentral:lncRNA from 1 species
GGGCCUGGGGGUAUGGGGAGAGCUGCCAGGCCUUGGAGGACCCGUCUUUUGCCAUAACCAGGAGUUAAAGAAAAGGACCCAGGCAGGGUCGGCUUGGUUGUUCCCAUCAGCAGUGAUAACUGGCCCUUGGCUUCCCCAGACCACCCUGUGCUGCCCAGCCUGGGUCACUGCUCACGAGGGCUGGGGGCCUGCGUGGCACAGAGAGCCAGGCACCCUUCUUCAGAGGCCAGAGUGGCCCAAGGCAGGAAAAUGUCAGAGGCGUGCUGGGGCGGGGCAGAGAGAGCAGCCCCUUUCUUGUGACAGAGACAAACACAAAUACAAGAAUUUUAGGCACUUGGGGGUGGGGGGAGGUGCCCAGGGCUGACCUUCAGGAGACCCGGGCUGUUGCUCUAGCCCACCGCUCAACAAAGUGGCUCCAUUACUCUGCAGAAGGAACCUCACUUCCUCGUCUUCACUGCGCGAAGGUUGGCUCUGUCACCUUCAGAGGCUAUAGCCCUGAACAUCUAUGAUUGCUGCCUGGAUAUCGAACGAAGCAGAUUCAGCCUGUGGAAAGGUUUUCUUCCUGAGAUAUGCAAGCCAAUGCGAAAUGCUUUUUGAUAUAUGCACCUUCCCACCCCAAAUGGAGUGGAAAAGGCUAGGCUAAGCUAGACUAAACUAAAAUAGACAUCGAAUGUUUAUUCCUAAGAACAGGGCUGCAUAGUUUUGGUUUAGUACGAUGCAGGCAUCAAUGAAUGAAUGUUGACUAAACAAAUGAGUGAGACUUGGAAAAGGAUCUUAAAGAUUUUUACGAAUUCCCCAAAUCUCAUUUGAAGCAGCUAUCUGUGCAGUAACAACAUUUUAUUUUAUUUAGCUCCAUCUAUCUUCUUUAAGUCAGAAGUUGCUUGUAGAUGAGGCUUGUGUAACCUUUUUUAUCCCCCAAAUCAGCGAAGGCGGUCCUUUGCCCAAGCUGAUGGUCAGUUCGUGUUGGUGACUCACUGAGCAUAGAUUUCCAUCAUCUGUGCUACAGACUCUCCAGAAAACCAAAGAGAAAGAGCUGCUGGAACCUAGUUAGGGUCCCUGUGUUCUGCUCUUUAAUGUUUUCCAGUUUCUUUCUUUGGACUCUGGUACCCCCUGACCUAUUUCAUGUCUUGUUUCUUUAUUUCGUGGAAAAAGAUGAGCGUGACAUAGUGUCUCCAAUCUUUCUUUAUUUCUGGUAUAAGGACCUUAAUUUCACUUGCAAGAACAGGCAGAAGUUAUGACCCUGUGCAUCUUUGGUGUGGGGAGGGGGAGAUUGCUAGCCUGUUCUUAAAAGAAACAGAGCACAAGACAGAGAAAGCUCAAAAUGACAGCAGAAGGCCAGGCCAGGCAGCAGAGCAUGCCCCCACCCCCGCCCCCACCCACCUGGCCUGAAGUGGGGACGGUACUUGGUAGAAGUUGGCUUGGAGCCAGGCCUGCCUUGCUUUGAUUGUAGCCAGUGUCAUUUCUGUGUAAAAUUCUCGACAAUCACAUUAACAAGCCAUUUAACAGACGCUAUAACCACCCUGCCAUUCGGGUUCAUCAGAUUUUUCCUCCUGUGACAGGCCCUGAAUGAGCAUUAAGGUUGAAUGUGAUUGGUUUUGGCAGGCGGCAUCUCCCCGUCUUCCUGGCACACCCCGCCAUGCCCUCCAUCACCGCCGAGACCGGCAGGAGGAACUCGUGUUAUUGAGGAGGCCACCAGAUUUUGCGUGCAGGACCGACACACACCCGCACUCUCACACACGGCACACACACUUUAGUUAUGUGCCUGGAGAAACACAAAGACAGCAAAACAGUGCCAUUGGCUGAGUAAGGUGAGACUUUCACUCCUCCAGGUUCUGCAGGUUUGUGUAAUGAACUGGAAAUAAACACACUACAUAUUAAGGAGCCAGGAGGAACUGCAUCCCUUGUUUGAACUGGGGGACUCACACGGGGGUCAGGGAAAUCUGGAGGAGGACAAGGAAGCUUGACAGUGAAUUCCUUCAUCCCUCCAUUUACCCAUUCGUUCACUCAUUCAUUCGUCCGAAAAGUCGCUGAUACUACAUAACAGUUUCUGCCUUUCCUCCCUCCACCCUCCCCCUUUCACUUCACACACAAUCUAAGGAAUCAACUAGAUGUGCAAAGACAUAAUUUUAACAAUGUGAGAAAUUCUGGUGUCAAGGAACAAUCCAGAUAUUAUCGGGACAUCAGAAGAUGUGCUCAUUGCUUGCAGAUGACCAGGAAGCCCUGGGCAGUGUCCUCUCUGAGUCUUAAAGAGGAAGGAGGCAUUUGUAGGUCUGGGUAUUCAUUGGCUCUCUUGUCAUUUGUCCUUCUUUUCUCUCUGAUUGUCACAUCAGCUUGUCAAGAUCCAGGGCUGUGUGUCCGGUUUGUUUAUAUAGCAAGAGGCUGGUCCAGUGCCUGGGGCCUGGUAACCACGUCCACACUGAAUCCAGGAACACAUCUAUAAAUGGCUGGUGCUACGAUUCUUUAUGUAGCAUACAUUGGUGAGCCAAGGUCAAGAUUUUGUUUUGGUUUUAGGUCACAGCAGAUAGGGCAAUGUGGCAAAUAUAUGAGAACACAAUGACGGGGGGGCCAAGAUGCUGUCCAUGUGGGGCCUGGUGCAAGGUGACCCUGGCUCUGACCAUGGGUGCAGGGUCAACUGUUGAGCACCACCUGUGAUUAUAAAAAACCACCACGAAUUCACCCUCCUGGCUUGGGAGGCGGACCUCCAUGGGGAAACUCUGCCUGAAAGGUGAGCCCUGCAGAAGUCCUUUGGUGGCCCUGGCCCUCUGUCUCUGGGUCCUGGACGGUGGGUGGGUAACCAGGGGUUGACCACAGUUAUGUAAAUCCGAAUGAUGGGAAAAUCGGCAGUGACAGAUGAUUGUUUCCUGCUGAGUUUCCCUUUCUUCUCUAUGACUCUUUUAUCUGCAGAGUGUGGUCUACUCGGUAGAGAAGGCUCAGGAGGGCCAGAAAGGUGGUGUUUGCUCCUUCAGCCUCAUUUCGUAGCCUACCUGACAAGAAUUUGCCCAAUAGGAGAGAGAGAACAUUAGGAGGGUUGGCCUGAAGCUCCCCAUCAGCUGGAGGUAGUUAGAUUUGUCUGGGACUAGAAUUAGGUGGGUUAGGAGAGGAUGUGUUGAAACAAGAGUCCAUUCUAGGAAUCAGUUUCUUUUCUCAUUCAAGCCCAGCCUUGACUGGUGAAUGACAUUGAGCAAGUUUCUUUAACUUCUUUGGGCUACAGUUUCCUCAUCUGUUUCCAAAAUCUGGCUCUCAAAAACAUCACUCAUUUUCCUUUAUCAGAUCCUCAAUGUCCGUACCUAACAUAUAAGUUUGGCAAAUACCAUUUUCUGAGUAAGAAUAAAGGACAUAGUUUUUCAAAACCCUGGGGCCUGUGAAUAUUUUCCAGACUGUGCAUUGUUUCAACCGUUCCCACAUUUAGCAGUAUCCCUGGAGUGUGUGGCAUUUCGAAAGGGGUAGAGAUAUUAAAUGGCGACAUUCUACAGCUACAGUGGAAGCAUUAAUUGCAUUCAGCGCUGUGCUUGGUCCCUGGGCCUGCCUUUCAUGCAGAGGAUGUAGGAGCCUAGAUGUCUGGUUUCAGAAAUGCAAGGAGGUGCUGAGCUCUUUCAUUUAUUACCAAUACCUUUCAUUAGACACCUAAUUUUAGAAUUAAAAUGCAAAUAUGCACAUAGCACAUUGGAGCUAAAUAAAUGCUAAUUGUUUAAUUCAUACUAAGAUGUAAAUGACUGAUACUAGACCCAAUCCUCAGAGUGUGUUUAAGGUAAUAAUAAGGAAAAACCCAAAGCAAAAGAAGGAAAGUGAUGGAAACAGCAAGGAUAGUGUAGGAAUGUGGGAAAGGGAGGGGAUGAAGUUUUCCAAGAUAAAUUCUCCCUUACUUCCUUCCCACUGUUAGACAGAAACCAGUGGGGUAGGAUCCAAUUUCAGAGAAUGUCAUAGUCUCCUUGUUUUAUGACCCAGGCUAACUUUUAAGACCUGAACACCACUUGCGCCAACACUGGAUAAAGCUGCCAAAGCAAACCUCAGGAUCUCGAGAGAUUUUCUGAAACUAAAAUUAUCUUUUUUUUUUUUUUUUACAUCAUGCAUUUUUCUUGAAUGUAAAACAUACACCCCUUACCGUAGAACAUUGAGAUAUCACAGC